GGAUAAYCCGGCGAAAGUCGGACUAAUACCUUAUGAGGUUUUCAGCAGACAUCUAAUGAAAACGAAAGAUUUAUCGGUCAGUGAUGGGGAUGCGUCUGAUUAGCUUGUUGGCGGGGUAACGGCCCACCAAGGCAACGAUCAGUAGGGGUUCUGAGAGGAAGGUCCCCCACAUUGGAACUGAGACACGGUCCAAACUCCUACGGGAGGCAGCAGUGAGGAAUAUUGGUCAAUGGGCGAGAGCCUGAACCAGCCAAGUAGCGUGCAGGAUGACGGCCCUAUGGGUUGUAAACUGCUUUUAUGUGGGGAUAAAGUGAGCUACGUGUAGUUUAUUGCAGGUACCACAUGAAUAAGGACCGGCUAAUUCCGUGCCAGCAGCCGCGGUAAUACGGAAGGUCCAGGCGUUAUCCGGAUUUAUUGGGUUUAAAGGGAGCGUAGGCCGUGGAUUAAGCGUGUUGUGAAAUGUAGACGCUCAACGUCUGAAUUGCAGCGCGAACUGGUUCACUUGAGUAUGCACAACGUAGGCGGAAUUCGUCGUGUAGCGGUGAAAUGCUUAGAUAUGACGA
rnacentral:rRNA from 1 species